rnacentral:tRNA from 1 species
AAAAAGAUAAGCUAAAUUUAAGCUAAUGGGUUCAUACCUCAUUUAUGAUAAUAAUUCUCUUUUUA